AUACGGAGGGUGCAAGCGUUAAUUGGAAUUACUGGGCGUAAGGCGCGCGUAGGCGGUUUGAUCAGUCGGAUGUGAAAGCCCUGGGCUCAACCUGGGAACUGCAUUCGAUACUGUCAGACUAGAAUAUGGUAGAGGGUAGUGGAAUUCCUGGUGUAGCGGUGAAAUGCGUAGAUAUCAGGAGGAACAUCAGUGGCGAAGGCGGCUACCUGGACCAAUAUUGACGCUGAGGUGCGAAAGCGUGGGGAGCAAACAGGAUUAGAAACCCGAGUAGUCC
rnacentral:rRNA from 1 species